UCUCAAAAGCCGGCAUCCGGCUGCGCGUGCUCCUCGCAAACCCCGGAGAAGACCGGGAGACCCACCUGACACGCACGAGGAAACUGAGGCCUAAGGCUGGAAGGGACCUGCCCGAGGUGCCCCAGAGCUCUCUGAUUGAUUGCAGGGAGGAGAGAUGAGGUCUGGCUACCCCAGGAUGGCCACACCAAGCUUCCUCAUAUGCCCCAGCAGCUCCCAUCUUGGCACACAGCUCUUGGUCACUGCUGAGCAGACAGAGCCAAAGCGAGACAGUUGGAUGCUGGGAAAAGGGCACGGGCUGACCUCCCAUGGCUCCACCAGGAGCUGUGUGACACUGUUCUUUCUGUCUCUUCCCUUCCCCAGGCUUGAGUUGGCUGUGGUGGAUUCUGAUCCCUCCCAGCCCUAAAAUCUUCACUCCUAUAGCAUCACGCCAUAUCACAAGUGAUUUAGACCCCCACCCCCAGACCAUGAGCUCCAGGAAGACAGGAACCACAUCUUUUUCCACUGCUGUGUCCCCACAAACUAGCUGGGAUCUGACUCAUAGAAGGAAACUAAUAAAUAUGUGUUCAGUGA